UGUGGUAUUUCAAUAUUAAAUAUUGGUUC
rnacentral:piRNA from 1 species